rnacentral:rRNA from 1 species
CUCCCUCGUUGCUGACCCCAGGUUCGAUAGCACCAAUUAGGCAUCACCUCGCCAAGAACCAACUUCGAUGAAGCGACGGGCGGUGUGUGCAAGG